CACGUCAGUGCGCUUUGCUGACGUGGCAACAAAUCGCCCCAUUGUGGACGUGAUUUGUUGCCACGUCAGCAAAGCGCGCUGACGUGG
rfam:Gossypium hirsutum cultivar TM-1 chromosome 7, whole genome shotgun sequence